rnacentral:rRNA from 1 species
GACAGAGGGGGCAAGCGUUGCUCGGAAUCACUGGGCGUAAAGGGCGCGUAGGCGGGAUGGCAAGUCGGUCGUGAAAUCCUUCGGCUCAACCGAAGAACGUCGGCCGAUACUGCCGUUCUUGAGGGAUGCAGAGGAGAUUGGAAUUCCCGGUGUAGCGGUGAAAUGUGUAGAGAUCGGGAGGAACACCGGUGGCGAAGGCGGGUCUCUGGGCAAUAACUGACGCUGAGGAGCGAAAGCGUGGGGAGCGAACAGG